CGCGUAGGCGGUUUUUAAGUCAGAUGUGAAAGCCCGGGGCUUAACCCCCGGAAGUGCAUUUGAAACUGAAAGACUUGAGUAUGGGAGAGGGAAGUGGAAUUCCUGGUGUAGAGGUGAAAUUCGUAGAUAUCAGGAGGAACACCGGUGGCGAAGGCGACUUCCUGGACCAAUACUGACGCUGAGGCGCGAAGGCGUGGGUAGCAAACAG
rnacentral:rRNA from 1 species